CUUUCAGUCUUGUUUCGUUAUAGAAUACUUACUAAGAUCCAAAGUGAUCUCAACAAGGGGGAGCAGAAGAAGGCCUUUCUUAAAAAGUAAGAAAUCAGAUUUUAUUUUACAGCUUCUACUGAAUGUCUAAAUCUAACUGAACAUUGCAUAACUUUCAUAUUUGUCCUUUGUGCAGACCCAAAACACCACAGUAUCCAAAACAAGGUAAAGAACCCAAGAUUUGAGUUUAUUUAUGCCUGACAUCAUAAAGCUGUCUUACUUUGGGCCUGACACCGUUUCUUUUUGUGUGUGUUUUUUUUUUACAGUAAUUGUGCAGGAGGAAGACCUGUCAAACUCGGAUGAGUUUGUAAGUAAAAUCAUCAAUUUAAAUUUGUUUGUUUUUUCCUUAUCAUUCUUUUUAUACAUCCAUUGCCAUUCCAACUAUAAAUACUACGAAGUUACGAUACUACGGCUUGUAGAAUGUCACAAAUCACUCUGUUAUGUUGGUUUCAUUUAUACGCCAUGGCUAGUAGGUUGUGCAAAUUCAACACAAAACCAGCGGCAUCACGUGGUGGGUGCUAAUUUCUAACCCUGGCUGCAAAUUUUUUUUAAACUUUGACCACGUUUACAGACUCAAAGUAUUUUAUAAAAAGUAAGUAACAAUGUCUGUCAUUUUGUGGCAAUAACAGAAGGAAUAGUUCACAAAACUGUUGUCCGUGAUCUGAGUUGUGCUCAAUACUUAAUUCACAUGUCUGGGUUGUGUUCAGGAAAGUGGUAGUGACUAUGAGGAUCCACAAGAGGACGGAGAGGACAGCUACAUCUUUGCGACGGAUGAGUCACAAACCACUGAGCAACAACACAGUGAGGAAUCCAGUGAAGAAGAGUGCGAGCAGCCUCCCUUGCCAUCGAGGCCGCGUCUACCCCCAAAAGUGCCUGAAUUACAGGACAGUAGAGAUCCUGUUCACUUUCCUCCCCCUGUUCCUAUUCCUGCUGAAAGGCCCUCAAAACCUCCACCAAGAAUGAGCUUCACCUUACCGAAACCUUUUAAAGCAUCAGCCAGCAAACCCAGUCUGCAUGUUGACAGGACCACGAAGCCGGGAAAACCUAGCCCACCCCAGAGAGACGUAAAAAAAUCAAGUAUGUGCUGUUUAUUAUGUAGUGUUAUAACAGUUGGAAGUUUGUCACAUUUCUGUUUGACAUUAUCCAUCAUGUCCACAAGAGGGCAGCACUGUCAUAGCUCCUGGCUCAUCCACCAGCAAGCCCCCUCAACCAAGACCCCCUAAAGCUACAGAUGUGUCCAGAAGGUAGGCCAGCCUUAAUAAAUAAUGGCUGUAGUCUAGCAAGCCCUUCAGUCUGAGUAAUGCAACAUUUUUAAAAUCACAUUCCAUUUUAUCUCUUCCUGCCCAGAGAGAGUAAACUCAUUCCACCACCUCCAGUGCCAACACAACCUGCUAUGGUUACCAAUCCAACACCAGGACCAAGAGGGGUAAGAAUCACAGCAAUUUCCAUACUAUGAACACACACAAUAUUUAGGUUUCCUGUGCAUACUUAUG